GCACCUCCAAGCCCAGCACAAGCAGCUGCGGUCUAGGCUGCACUAUUAUCCCACAACUUCUAACAAGAGUUAACUUCAGCCCUGUUCUUUUCCUAGUUGUAUUUUCAGGGCAUUAAA